rnacentral:rRNA from 1 species
AUUGAACGCUGGCGGCAGGCCUAACACAUGCAAGUCGAGCGAGCGGCGGACGGGUGAGUAAUGUCUGGGAAACUGGCUGAUGGAGGGGGAUAACUACUGGAAACGGUAGCUAAUACCGCAUACCAUCAGAUGUGCCCAGAUGGGAUUAGCUAGUAGGUUGGGUAACGGCUCACCUAGGCGACGAUCCCUAGCGGGUCUGAGAGGCUGACCAGCCACACUGGAACUGAGAAACGUUCCAGACUCUUACGGGAGGCACCAGUGGGGAUUAUUGGAAAAUGGGCGCAAGCCUGAUGCAGCCAUGCCGCGUGUGUGAAGAAGGCCUUCGGGUUGUAAAGCACUUUCAGCGGGGAGGCGUUACCCGCAUAAGAAGCACCGGCUAACUCCGUGCCAGCCGCCGCGGUAAUAC